GACUGGGGUGUAGUGGUUUGAGUGUUGGACUGUAACUCUGGAGACCAGGGUUUGAUCCCCAGCUCGGCCA